rnacentral:misc_RNA from 1 species
AAGUCGUAACAAGGUUUCCGUAGGUGAACCUGCGGAAGGAUCAUUACCGAGUUCAUGCCCUCACGGGUAGAUCUCCCACCCUUUGUAUACCAUACCUUUGUUGCUUUGGCGGGCCGCCUAGCUACUGGCUUCGGCUGGUAAGUGCCCGCCAGAGGACCCAAAACCCUGAAUAUUAGUGUCGUCUGAGUAAAAUUUUAAUAUUUAAAACCUUCAACAACGGAUCUCUUGGCUCUG